rnacentral:lncRNA from 1 species
GCCCCUACCCCUUCUCCCCUUCUUCCACCUAGGAAGGGGGGCGUGGAGGGAGCCGGGAUCAGCCAGGGGCCAGCAUGAGCCUGAGGGAGGGAAGUCUGGACCCCCAGGCUGACUCCUCAGUCUCAUUCCUUCCCCACUUGGAGGCCAAGAUCCGCCAGACACACAGCCUUGCCCGCCUCCUCACCAAAUAUGCUGAGCAGCUGCUCCAGGAAUAUCUGUGGAAAUCCAGGCUUUGGAGAGGGAUGCACAGCAGACUGGAGGAGAACUCUGUCUGUGCCCCACAUGAUAACCUGUCUGCCUAAACUUGGAAGCUCCCUCCUUGGUGCUGAAAAUCAGAAACGGCCUGAGAGAGCAGGAACCUGACUGGGACUUAGGUUCUAUGCGAUUGUGUCACACAUGGAAGUGAACUGUUCUAACUAGAAUAUGCCCAGAGGCCAAGAAGGGGCUUCAACCUGGGCAAAAAUUGUGUCCCACAAAGGAACGUUUAGAGAGCAGAGGGGUCUGCCAAUAUUUUUGCCCAAAGAAAGAAGAUAAUCCUCUAAGCACCUUAGGGUGGUGGAAGAAGGCUGUAGUUUUGUAUCAGACAGACUGUAAACCUGCCUGAUUUAAGGCUUUGGCCGGUAAUGAUAAAAAUAAUGUAACAAUUAGGACAGUGGACAGUAUUUCCCCAAUGCUGAGUGUGAAAUAUUGUGUUUAAAGCAACAAACAUAAUGCCUGAGCCAGAGGCAAGAUGUUUACAAAGGGAAAUGUUAUUACAGCAUUUAACAAAUUGCAAAUCACUUUUAUCUUUCAUUUGUUUAUUCAAAUGAGAAUUAGUGACUCAUUGAGCCCCUGCUCGGUACACGUACAAAGGUUGGGGAGUACAGGAAGAGGAGUGUCUUCCACAUUUCUAAGAGGCCCUGGUAGAAAGAAAGAGUGGAGAGCAGUUCCCUCGCCACCUUACAGCUAAGAAGACUGGGGCUCCCAGGAGGCUUUGCAUAGAGUGGCUCAACUAGUAAGUGGCCAAGACGAGAUUUGAACCCUGGUCCGUCAGACGACAUUAAUAAAAGAGCCAACAUUUAUCGAGCCCUCCUGGGGCCAGGCCCUGUCUUAAGCACUUCACAUGCUCACCCCUGCCUCAGGAAGCGGACACUUACUGGCUCUGUACUGGGUAAGAGCAGACAAAGGCACCGGUGUGAGGCGCGUGUGCUUGGGUAACCGCUCAGACACUGCCCGGGCAGGAGGGGGUCUGUCUCCGCUGGCAGGAGCGCCCAGGGGCCGCGGAGAAGGCCGCGCCAGAUCUCGCC